rnacentral:hammerhead_ribozyme from 1 species
AUCCAGCUGAUGAGUCUCAAAUAGGACGAAACGCGCGUCAAACUGAAU